rnacentral:rRNA from 1 species
CAGCAGGGGGAAUUUUUCCCCAAGGGGCGCAACCCUGAGGGACCAAUCCCGCGUGAAGAAUGAAGCCCCGUGGGUUGAAAAUUCCUUUUCUUAGAAAAGAAAACCGGACGGAAUUUAAGGAAUAAGCAUCGGCUAACUCCGUCCCAGCAGCCGCGGUAAUACGGAGGAUCCAAGCGUUUUCCGGAAUCAUUGGGGGUAAAGGGUCCUGAGGUGGUUUGCUAAGUCUACUGUGAAAGAUCAGGGCUCAACCCUGAAGAUCCGGUGGAAACUGGCAGGCUAGAAUACGGUAGGGGCAGGGGGAAUUCCCGGUGGAGCGGUGAAAUGCACAGAGAUCGGGAAGAACACCAAAUGGCGAAAGCACUCUGCUAGGCCGAGACUGACACUGACAGACGA